rnacentral:rRNA from 1 species
UAACUUAGUGGCGGACGGGUGAGUAACGCGUGAGAAUCUGCCUUCAGGACGGAGACAACAGUUGGAAACGACUGCUAAGCCCCGAUGUACCGAAAGGGAAAAUAUUUAUAGCCUGAAGAUGAGCCCGCGUCCGAUUAGCUAGUUGGCGGAGUAAAAGCCCACCAAGGCGACGAUCGGUAGCUGGUCUGAGAGGACGAUCAGCCACACUGGGACUGAGACACGGCCCAG